CGCUUUAUCAGCAUCCUCUUCAUUUUUGAAUCCAAUGAAAGCAAAUCGUCUACUAACGCCUUCUUUUGUUUUGGCUACGCUAACGUCUGUGAUUUCAGCAUCCAACUGAGGUAAAGAUUUUAAAUAUGUUGAUAGCUUCUCCUUGUCAUAGUAGCGGGGAAUAUUUUUUAUAAUUAUACGCGACAUGGCGCGCGUUCAAAGACAAUUGCUAAAUCUCUACAGUUUUGGAGUAUGCAAAAGAGUAGAGAAAACCAUACAGAAAAAUUCGAACCUUAGUGCUUACGAACGACAUACAACGAACUUCAGUAUACAUUCCUAAGAUUAUUAAAGCUU